CCAGACUCCUACGGGAGGCAGCAGUGGGGAAUAUUGGGCAAUGGAGGCAACUCUUACCCAGCAAUGCCGCGUGAAUGAAGAAGGUCUUCGGAUUGUAAAGUUCUUUAAUUGGGGACGAAAAAAAUGACGGUACCCAAGGAAUAAGCCCCGGCUAACUACGUGCCAGCAGCCGCGGUAAUACGUAGGGGGCAAGCGUUAUCCGGAUUUACUGGGUGUAAAGGGAGCGCAGACGGCAGUGCAAGUCUGGAGUGAAAGCCCGGGGCCCAACCCCGGAACUGCUCUGGAAACUGUGCGGCUAGAGUACUGGAGGGGCAGGCGGAAUUCCUAGUGUAGCGGUGAAAUGCGUAGAUAUUAGGAGGAACACCAGUGGCGAAGGCGGCCUGCUGGACAGUAACUGACGUUGAGGCUCGAAAGCGUGGGGAGCAAACAGGAUUAGAUACCCCCGUA
rnacentral:rRNA from 1 species